UACGUAGGAGGCAAGCGUUGUCCGGAAUUACUGGGCGUAAAGCGCGUGUAGGUGGUGGGACAAGUCUGCUGUGAAAGCGCCUGGCUUAACCGGGCGAGGUCGGCGGAAACUGUCCGACUCGAGGACGGUAGAGGGGGGUGGAAUUCCCGGUGUAGUGGUGAAAUGCGUAGAGAUCGGGAGGAACACCUGUGGCGAAGGCGGCCCCCUGGGCCGGCCCUGACACUGAGACGCGAAGGCGUGGGGGAGCGAACGGG
rnacentral:rRNA from 1 species